AUCAAAUUUUGUUACGAUUUCCAGAUUUAAAUAUCUAUUUCCUACAUUGCCUAUUAAAGAAUUUAAUGAAUCGUGUUCCGAUUUCAAAAUUGAUAUCGGUCAAUUAAAAUGUCUGCAGUUUUGUCUGGCUUUUGAUCUUAAUCGACUAAAAUAUACACCGUCACUUACCCCUUAAAUGGAAAUCGUUUUUGAACCGAUCCAAAAUGAUAAAUAUCCUGUAGAAGAUAUUCCGUAAUGAAAUAUCGGUAGGUAUCCU